GUGUCAGCCGCCGCGGUAAUACGUAGGGUGCGAGCGUUGUUCGGAAUUAUUGGGUGUAAAGAGCGUGUAGGCGGUCAGGUAGGUCCGUUGUGAAAACUCGAGGCUCAACCUCGAGACGCCGAUGGAAACCAUCUGGCUAGAGUCCGGAAGAGGAGAGUGGAAUUCCUGGUGUAGCGGUGAAAUGCGCAGAUAUCAGGAAGAACACCAAUGGCGAAAGCAGCUCUCUGGGACGGUACUGACGCUGAGACGCGAAAGCGUGGGGAGCGAACAGGAUUAGAUACCCCGGUAGUCC
rnacentral:rRNA from 1 species